CAACGCCGCGUGAGUGAUGAAGGUUUUUCGGAUCGUAAAGCUCUGUUGCCCUAGACGAACAGCAAGGAGAGUAACUGCUCUUUGUGUGACGGUAUAGGAGAAGAAAGCCCCCGGCUAACUACGUGCCAGCAGCCGCGGUAAUACGUAGGGGGCAAGCGUUGUCCGGAAUUAUUGGGCGUAAAGCGCGCGCAGGCGGUCAAUUAAGUUGGGUGUUUUAAGCCCGGGGCUCAACCCCGGUUCGCAUCCAAAACUGGUUGACUUGAGUGUAGGAGAGGAAAGUGGAAUUCCACGUGUAGCGGUGAAAUGCGUAGAGAUGUGGAGGAACACCAGUGGCGAAGGCGACUUUCUGGCCUAUAACUGACGCUGAGGCGCGAAAGCGUGGGGAGCAAACAGGAUUAGAUACCCUGGUAGUCCACGCCGUAAACGAUGCAUACUAGGUGUUGGGGAUUCGAUUCCUCGGUGCCGAAGUUAACACAGUAAGUAUGCCGCCUGGGGAGUACGCUCGCAAGAGUG
rnacentral:rRNA from 1 species